rnacentral:rRNA from 1 species
CCCUUAGAUGUUCUGGGCUGCACGCGCGCUACACUGAGUGUCUGAGAUACGAGUCUGCCUGGUCCGGCAAGGUCUAGGUAAUCGCUAAAAGACACAUCAUGCUUGGGAUAGAUUAUUGCAAAUAUUAAUCUUGAACGAGGAAUUCCUAGUAAGCGCAAGUCAACAGCUUGCGUUGAUUACGUCCCUGCCCUUUGUACACACCGCCCGUCGCUACUACUGAUUGGAUGUUUAAGCGAGGUUCUCGAACUGCUAGCGACUUAGCUUCGGUGAGGUCGCAGUGUGGGAAGUGAACCUAGCUUUGGUGUCUAGAGGAAGUAAAAGUCGUAACA